AUUUAUAUAGUUUAAUCUUUAAAACAUUACAUUUUCACUGUAAAAAUAAAAAUUUUUUUUUUAUAAAUA
rnacentral:tRNA from 1 species